UCGAUUACACCCUCGAUGGCAAGCUUCAGAGUCUAUUUCAUUCCGCACUCAACCAGACACUCGAGCACAAGGAAGAAAAGAAGACUCCAGCUAUUUACUCGACCUCCCACUCGACCACCUGGGUCGAGUACAGUUCUUAAUCCGUCCCAAUAAAGUAUUAGGGUUUCAGAAUAUUUGGCUAUAAGUAGCAUGUACUUCAUAUUUUCGCAAA
rnacentral:sRNA from 1 species